CUUGAGCUGUGCACAGAUCGGAGACCGGUCGAGACAAAAUGAAGUUCGGACACCUGCUGAUGUUCGUGUUCACCCUGUUGGCGUUGGUGUUCACGGGAACAGCUGACCCGGAUCCUGGCGGGAAAUUCAAAUUUAAAGGCCACGGAGGAGGGCAUAGAGGGCACCAUGGAGGAUUCAGGAGCGGUUUCAACAAAUUUAAGUUCAAAGGCUGAAGACAUAGACUGCAUCCGGCACGACUCAACGAGGCAACGGCGAAGAAUAUCUUGUGAUUCCUGGUCUUGAAUUUUCGUCGUAUUGGGAAACCAAGGCUGCGAGAUUCUAGCGACCGAAAGUAGAAUAAAUGAGCAAUUUUUA